UUAAUGCAGCAACAGGGCAUGACAACAAAUUUUCCAUCGCCACCACAAUGGAGCCAGUUUGCAAACACACCAGCUCCGCCACCACAGUUCGACACCCCUCCCACACAUAUACAUGCACCUGGAGAUAGGGUUACGCCCGAAGCGGGUGGUAGUGGGUCUGAUCCCGCAGCAGGGACUGGAUUUGUUGACUCCCUCUUCGCUUCCCUCCUCCUAGUGGUGGUGGCGGCACCGAUCAAAGCUCUAACCACCCAAGUGGUGGUUAUCUCUAAACACUUGAACUCGUGCUCGUUAUGUUUUUUAACUCGUGGACGUUAUGUUUGUGUAAACACUUGAUCUUAACUCGUAUCUGAAAUAUUUGUGUAAACACUAGAUCUUAAGUUCGUGAUGUGUGAAUCAUAUCAAUGCGUUUGUGAUGUGUAUAUUCAUGUGAUAUGUUUUGUCAUAUGUUUGUGAUGUGUA